UAUGGUUACAAAUGUUUCACAAGACAGCAA
rnacentral:piRNA from 1 species